rnacentral:rRNA from 1 species
CUUGUGCCAGCAGCCGCGGUAAUACAGAGGGUGCAAGCGUUAAUCGGAAUUACUGGGCGUAAAGCGCGCGUAGGUGGUUCGUUAAGUUGGAUGUGAAAUCCCCGGGCUCAACCUGGGAACUGCAUUCAAAACUGACGAGCUAGAGUAUGGUAGAGGGUGGUGGAAUUUCCUGUGUAGCGGUGAAAUGCGUAGAUAUAGGAAGGAACACCAGUGGCGAAGGCGACCACCUGGACUGAUACUGACACUGAGGUGCGAAAGCGUGGGGAGCAAACAGGAUUA